UGGGGAAUUUUGGACAAUGGGCGCAAGCCUGAUCCAGCCAUGCCGCGUGUGGGAAGAAGGCCUUCGGGUUGUAAACCACUUUUGUCAGGGAAGAAACGGCUUUUGAUAAUACCGAGAGCUAAUGACGGUACCUGAAGAAUAAGCACCGGCUAACUACGUGCCAGCAGCCGCGGUAAUACGUAGGGUGCGAGCGUUAAUCGGAAUUACUGGGCGUAAAGCGUGCGCAGGCGGCUUUGCAAGACAGAUGUGAAAUCCCCGGGCUCAACCUGGGAACUGCAUUUGUGACUGCAUGGCUAGAGUACGGUAGAGGGGGAUGGAAUUCCGCGUGUAGCAGUGAAAUGCGUAGAUAUGCGGAGGAACACCGAUGGCGAAAGCAAUCCCCUGGACCUGUACUGACGCUCAUGCACGAAAGCGUGGGGAGCAAACAG
rnacentral:rRNA from 1 species